rnacentral:lncRNA from 1 species
AGGAUUCCUAUGUUAAUUUUCUUCACUUAUUUCCAUAGCCUAGAUCUUGAAAGUGAAUAAGGUACAGGAUGAGAAUGAGUAGGAGCAGUGUCAAAGGAGAAAUAUAAUGUCUGAAGUGCUUCACCUGCCAGAUUUGAACAUUCAGAUACCAGGGAAGAGCCAGCAAAAAUACUUCAUUUUCUGUUUGCUUGAAAAAUGCCACUACUUAAAAAACAAAACAAAACAAAAAACUGGAGUGUCAAUUUAACUUUAACAUUGCUUGAAUGUUAUAUCAAUAGUCAUUGGUUUGCCCUGUUGAAGGAAGACCUGAAAGAAGAAUAAAGCUUUUCACUACAACA